rnacentral:rRNA from 1 species
CACGUAGGGCGCAAGCGUUUGUCCGGAAUUAUUGGGCGUAGAGAGCUCGUAGGCGGUUUGUCGCGUCUGCUGUGAAAACUGGGGGCUCAACCCCCAGCCUGCAGUGGGUACGGGCAGACUAGAGUGCGGUAGGGGAGAUUGGAAUUCCUGGUGUAGCGGUGGAAUGCGCAGAUAUCAGGAGGAACACCGAUGGCGAAGGCAGAUCUCUGGGCCGUAACUGACGCUGAGGAGCGAAAGCAUGGGGGAGCGAACAGG